GCUUGUCUAGCUCAGUUGGUAAAAUACAAGUCUCUUAACCUUGUGGUCGUGGAUUCGAGCCCCACAGUGGACA
rnacentral:tRNA from 7 species